rnacentral:ncRNA from 2 species
GAGAAAUUCGGGAGAGAGAUUCCGCCUCGUUUUAUGAGGGGCGGACGCCGAAGGGGCAACGCAAAACGUUUUUUCAUUGCGGAAACUCUCAGGCACAAAGGAUCCCGAGCGGACG